GACGAACGCUGGCGGCGUGCCUAACACAUGCAAGUCGAGUGAAGUGAGUACUACGGUACGAACUUAGCGGCGGACGGGUGAGUAACGCGUGGACAAUCUACCCUGUAGACUGGGAUAACACCUCGAAAGGGGUGCUAAUACCGGAUAAUGUCGAGAAGCGGCAUCGCUUUUCGAAGAAAGGAGAGAAUCCGCUAUAGGAGGAGUCCGCGUCCCAUUAGCUAGUUUGUGAGGGUAACGGUCCACCAAGGCGACGAUGGGUAGCCGGACUGAGAGGUUGAAGGGCCACACUGGAACUGAGACACGGUCCAGACUCCUACGGGAGGCAGCAGUGGGGAAUAUUGUGCAAUGGGGGAAACCCUGACACAGCAACGCCGCGUGAGCGAAGAAGGCCUUCGGGUUGUAAAGCUCAAUAGUAUGGGAAGAUAAUGACGGUACCAUGCGAAAGCCCCGGCUAACUACGUGCCAGCCGCCGCCGUAAGAC
rnacentral:rRNA from 1 species